AAUAAAACAAAACAAAACAAAAUAAAACAAAACAUAAGAAAGCCAAAAUUCCCCUGAAGAGUCUUUAUAUCUCCCUCCUAAGACGAUUGCCCUUCUUUUCUCUAAAAUUUUUCUCCCUAAAUCCUACCUCUAAAUCCUAAAUCCUAAAUUCUACUUCCAAAUCCUAAAUCCUAAAUCCUACUUCCAAACCUUAAACCCUAAACCCUA
rnacentral:lncRNA from 1 species